rnacentral:tRNA from 1 species
GCAGUCUGUAGUGUAGUGUUGCUGCACUUUCGGCUUGUGGAGCCGAAAGUGGGGGCUCGAUUCCCCUCAGGCUGCC